rnacentral:tRNA from 1 species
GCUCCCUUAGCUCAAUGGAUAGAGCAGCGGCCUUCUAAGCCGUUGGUUGGAGGUUCGAAUCCUCCAGGGAGCGCCA